UAAGUACAUAUAAUAGUAAAUUAAUAAAUUAAAUUUAAAAUGAUAACAAUUGUAACUAUUUAAAGUUUUAUCUUGGGAUGGUAGAUUCUACAUAAGGUUUAAUUCUUUGUGUUAUUUUUUUAUCAUUAUCAAAUAUACUUAUAAUUUAAUGCAAGAUAAAAAAAAUCAAUUUGUAGAGCCAUGUCCUAGAGCUGAAGUAAUAUGCUUGAAUUUAAAAAUUGAAUUUCUUUUGAUAUAUAGAGUUCUACUAGGUUGUCAAAUUAUUGAGAAUUCCAAGUGGAAGGUAAAUUCCUUUGGAGAACACUUCAAAUAUCUUAGACAAGAUUUUCUCGGCACAACAUUGAAUUUUUAUUUUCACGUAAAAAUCAUCUUUUUAUUAGUUUGCAUCCAUAGACAUUCAAGUUAAUGAAGAAAGCAACUUGCUAAAAUAUGUAUAUUGUUUGGACAUUUAAUUCUUGG
rnacentral:lncRNA from 1 species